UACGUAGGGUGCGAGCGUUAAUCGGAAUUACUGGGCGUAAAGCGUGCGCAGGCGGUUCGUUAUGUCCGAUGUGAAAGCCCCGAGCUCAACUUGGGAAUGGCAUUGGAAACUGGCGGGCUGGAGUGUGGCAGAGGGGGGUGGAAUUCCACGUGUAGCAGUGAAAUGCGUAGAGAUGUGGAGGAACACCGAUGGCGAAGGCAGCCCCCUGGGCCAACACUGACGCUCAGGCACGAAAGCGUGGGGAGCAAACAGGAU
rnacentral:rRNA from 1 species